GCGCAGAUAUCAGGAGGAACACCGGCGGCGNNNNCGGCACNNUGGGCCGGUACUGACGCUGAGGAGCGAAAGCGUGGGUAGCAAACAGGAUUAGAUACCCUGGUAGUCCACGCCGUAAACGGUGGGCACUAGGUGUGGGAUUCACUCAACGGAUUCCGUGCCGCAGCUAACGCAUUAAGUGCCCCGCCUGGGGAGUACGGCCGCAAGGCUAAAACUCAAAGGAAUUGACGGGGGCCCGCACAAGCGGCGGAGCAUGUUGCUUAAUUCGAGGCAACGCGAAGAACCUUACCUAGGUUUGACAUGUACGGAAAAGCUACAGAGAUGUGGUGUCCUUCGGGGCCGUACACAGGUGGUGCAUGGNUGUCGUCAGCUCGUGUCGUGAGAUGUUGGGUUAAGUCCCGCAACGAGCGCAACCCUCGUCCUAUGUUGCCAGCACGUAAUGGUGGGGACUCGUAGGAGACUGCCGGGGUCAACUCGGAGGAAGGUGGGGAUGACGUCAAGUCAUCAUGCCCCUUAUAUCUAGGGCUGCAAACAUGCUACAAUGGCUGGUACAACGGGCUGCAAUACCGCGAGGUGGAGCAAAUCCCUUAAAGCCAGUCUCAGUUCGGAUUGGAGUCUGCAACUCGACUCCAUGAAGUUGGAGUCGCUAGUAAUCCCGGAUCAGCNACGCCGGGGUGAAUACGUUCCCGGGCCUUGUACACACCGCCCGUCACACCACGAAAGUCGGCAACACCCGAAGUCAGUGGC
rnacentral:rRNA from 1 species